AGACCGGCCCUGCACGUAUCAUACAUACAAGGAGAGGAAGAAACAUACAGUCUAUACAUCUAUAUAAAGUAAAAUCCAGGGCGGCUGACGUGGCGCUUCCCUCCUUGCUUUUAGACUGAAUUCUCUGUUCUCAGUUUUCAACAUAUCUCAGUUGCUCCUCUGCCUCUUUUCUUCUUAUUUAAUUUUUGUUUAUUUUUUAAUUCCUGACUGAUCGGUUUCGUAACUGAAGCCUCGCCAUCUCCUUCGACAGUUUGUUAUAAAUCAUCCUCCCGCAAUCGUUUCUUUUCGCUUGGUUAUUUCUUACUCGAAAAUAACCCCCAAAAAUCAAACCAUAUUUCUCCACUCAGAUUGCAAGAACCCCAUGGCGAUCGAUUGUUUAGUUCUGGGGGCAGGCCAAGAAGUGGGCAAGAGCUGUGUGGUGGUGAACAUGAAUGGCAAGAAAAUUAUGUUCGAUUGCGGGAAGCAUAUGGGUCAUCAUGAUCACCAGAGAUACCCCGAUUUCUCUCGUAUUUCAAGAACCGGGGAUUUCGAUAGCUCCCUUACUUGCAUUAUCAUCGCACACUUCAUUUCCUGAGGAAUUUAGUUCUCAUUGAGAAGCUUGAGCAGCUCGAUCUUAAAUCAGUGGAGACGGUUGUAGAUGAAAAGGUAGAGGACAAGUUUGGCUACUUUAAGGUGCCGGGGAAGGACUCAGGGAUGAAGCCGAUUGUGGUAAAGGCCAAGCUGGUGUCGAAGAUUGCGGAGAAGAAGAUUGAGAUGGGCGGCGCUGUUGUGCUUACUGCUUAGGAUUGGUUUCUGUUUUAAUUGAAAUGGAUUAUACUGAUUGUAAUGGUUCUUAUGGAUUCUCACAUUGUGGAACACUGUUUUUGGAUAAAUUUAUGGUUAAUGGUACUUUUAAUUUUG